GCAGGAGCAGGUCAGAUCCCUUCGGGGUGACGACCUGUGGAAUGAGCGGCGGAUGGGUGAGUAACACGUGGGUAACCUGCCUGUAAGCUUGGGAUAACUCCGGGAAACCGGUGCUAAUACCGAAUAAAACUUUCAUUCUCCUGAAUGAAAGAUGAAAGGCGGCUUUUGCUGUCACUUACAGAUGGACCUGCGGCGCAUUAGCUAGUUGGUGAGAUAAAAGCUCACCAAGGCAACGAUGCGUAGCCGACCUGAGAGGGUGAUCGGCCACACUGGGACUGAGACACGGCCCAGACUCCUACGGGAGGCAGCAGUAGGGAAUCUUCCGCAAUGGACGAAAGUCUGACGGAGCAAUGCCGCGUGAGUGAUGAAGGUUUUCGGAUCGUAAAACUCUGUUGUGAGGGAAGAACAAGUACCGAAGUAAUAUGUCGGUACCUUGACGGUACCUUACCAGAAAGCCCCGGCUAACUACGUGCCAGCAGCCGCGGUAAUACGUAGGGGGCGAGCGUUGUCCGGAAUUAUUGGGCGUAAAGGGCACGCAGGCGGUCUUCUAAGUCUGAUGUGAAAUCUCGUAGCUUAACUACGAGCGGUCAUUGGAAACUGGGAGACUUGAGUACAGAAGAGGAGAGUGGAAUUCCACGUGUAGCGGUGAAAUGCGUAGAUAUGUGGAGGAACACCAGUGGCGAAGGCGGCUCUCUGGUCUGUAACUGACGCUGAGGUGCGAAAGCGUGGGGAGCGAACAGGAUUAGAUACCCUGGUAGUCCACGCCGUAAACGAUGAGUGCUAGGUGUUAAGGGGUUUCCGCCCCUUAGUGCUGCAGUUAACGCAUUAAGCACUCCGCCGGGGGAGUACGGCCGCAAGGCUGAAACUCAAAAGAAUUGACGGGGGCCCGCACAAGCGGUGGAGCAUGUGGUUUAAUUCGAAGCUACGCGAAGAACCUUACCAGGUCUUGGACAUCCCUCUGGCCGCUAUAGAAGAUAUAGCUUUUCCUUUCGGGGAACAAAGGUGACAGGUGGGUGCAUGGGCUGUCCUCCACCUCCGUGUCCUGGAAAU
rnacentral:rRNA from 1 species